GGCCUGGCCGGGCGGUCCGUCUUUGGCGAGUACUGUCUGCUGUCGGGUCUUCCUUCUGGUGAGCCAGCAUGUCCUUUGUUGGGUGUGUUGGGGAGCCAGGACCAUUACCUUGAAAAAAUUAGAGUGUUUAAAGCGGGCUAUUGCUUGAAUAGAUUAGCAUGGAAUAAUAGAAUAGGACGUUGUGGUUCUAUUUUGUUGGUUUCUAGGACCACCGUA
rnacentral:rRNA from 1 species